rnacentral:rRNA from 1 species
GUGAGGAAUAUUGGUCAAUGGGCGGAAGCCUGAACCAGCCAAGUCGCGUGAAGGAAGAAGGAUCUAUGGUUUGUAAACUUCUUUUGAAGGGGGAUAAAGUGCGUCACGAGUGGUGCAUUGCAGGUACCCUUGGAAUAAGCAUCGGCUAACUCCGUGCCAGCAGCCGCGGUAAUACGGAGGAUGCGAGCGUUAUCCGGAUUUAUUGGGUUUAAAGGGUGCGUAGGUGGCUUUUUAAGUCAGCGGUGAAAACUGGCGGCUCAACCGCAAGAGUGCCGUUGAAACUGGGGAGCUAGAGGAUGAACGAGGUAGGCGGAAUGUGUGGUGUAGCGGUGAAAUGCAUAGAUAUCACGCAGAACUCCGAUAGCGAAGGCAGCUUACCAGGCCAUAACAGACACUGAAGCACGAAAGCGUGGGGAUCGAACAGGAUUAGAAACCCGGGUAGUCC